rnacentral:rRNA from 1 species
CCUACGGGGGGCUGCAGUAGGGAAUAUUAGAAAUGGACGAAAGUCUGAUCUAGCAACACCGCGUGUGCGAAGAAGGCCUUCGGGUCGUAAAGCACUUUUUGGAAGGAAUAGGAAGGAAUGUACUUCCAGAAUAAGUCUCGGCUAACUACGUGCCAGCAGCCGCGGUAACACGUAGGAGGCAAACGUUAUCCGGAUUUACUGGGCGUAAAGCGCGUGUAGGUGGUACUGUAAGUAGGGCGUGAAAGCUCCUGGCUCAACUGGGAGAGGCCGUUCUAAACUACAGAACUAGAGGAUGGUAGAGGGAGGUGGAAUUCCAGGUGUAGCGGUGGAAUGCGCAGAUAUCUGGAGGAACACCGGUGGCGAAGGCGGCCUCCUGGACCAUUCCUGACACUCAGACGCGAAAGCUAGGGUAGCAAACGGGAUUAGAUACCCGAGUAGUC